rnacentral:rRNA from 1 species
AGUGCAGCAGGUAGCGCCGCAAACUUAAACAUAUCACUAGCGGCAGCAAGAGAAACCAACCGGGAGGCCCUGAGUAACGGCGAGCGAAAAGGGUCGAGUCCGACGUCGAAUCUGCCUAGAUGGACGACUUCGAAGCAGAGUUGUGACAGGCGCGGGUCCUCGAAAGGCCCACGCCGAAGGGAAGCCAAAUUUACGCGAGUAGGGUCAUGGCCUUCACUCAGCGGCUUCGCUGCAACUCGUAGUUGUAGUGUGACGAGUUCGAUCCGUCACACCCGAUAGGGGGUGAACUAUGCUCGAUCAGAUCGAAGCCUGGCUAACGCCCGGUGGAGGAUCGUAGCGGUUCUGAUAUGCAAUUCGAUCGCGUGAGUUGAGCAUAGGGGCGAAAGACCAAUCGAACCCCCUGGUAGCUGGUUCCUUCCGAAUGGUCUCUCAGGACUGCUGACGUACGCAAAAUCGGACUCGGUCGUCGUAGAGCAACGAAUCGGGUUACCGGGACGCAACCGUCGCCGCACCCUUCUCGAACUGCAAAGACGAUCGGCUGCGGGCCUCGUUCACUUCGAGGCUCGUCACGGACCGGAAGACGUCAAGUCGGCGCUGGCCGGUAAGCGGCUAGCGUUAUGCGGGAUCAACCGCCAGCCGGUGUGAGGUGCCAUCACCGAUCGAAUCGUGCGGCCUCGAAAAUUGAUGGCGCUUUUAUCGGUCGACCGACCGCCGGCCGCCGAGGACGACGUCUAGCUGCACUCCGCAGCAAAAGGUGCACUGUCCUCGGCGGGUAGGAAGGCGACGCGAUGAGCCUUGAAGCUCGUCCUCGAGGACGGGUGGAGCCGUCGCGUGUGCUUAUCAUGGUUGCAGUAGCUUGAACUUCGGUCGAACCCGGAGGGCCGUAGUGGAGAAGGUUUCCUGUCGAUCGGCGAACGAGACAGGGUAAGUCGCUCCCGAGCAGACGACGAAGGUCGUUAGACAGUGCCCGACAACGGGCGAGCUGCGAAAGGGAAGCCGGCGAAAAUUCCGGCACCGCGUCAAGCCGUGUUCGACGUCUCGUGGAACGUUCGCUGCCGCAAGGUUGGCGUGCGUGCCGGGCGUCGAACGUACCGACGGCAACGUGACUGGUUCGAAGACGCUCAGCACGGCAUCGGCAUCGGUUCUCUUCCGAUGUUAAGGUGACGACGCGACGGAGUCGGUUCGCCCGGAGAUGUCGCGCGCGUCGGCGAAAAGGGUGGCAAGAACUGCGACCUUCGGUAGCCGUGCUGGGCCCGUGAAAAUUCGAACGAGCGGAUUACGAGCUUGACGCGAGCGUACCCAGAACCGCAUCAGGUCUCCGAGGUGAGAAGCCUCUGGCCGAACGGCAAAAGGCGGGCUAGGGAAUUCGGCAAAAUAGAUCCGUACCUUCGGUACAAGGAUUGGCUCCGCGGGUCGCGUCUACCGGCUUGCAUCGGCGACCGACGACGUGGCGACCGUUGUCCUCCUCGGGGGAUGGCUGUUGCAGCGGAGGCGGGCGAAGGUGCGAGUUGAGCGGUGCGGGUUUCGGCCUGCAUCGCUCGCCACGGUAGGCUAAAAACGAUCGACGCGGAGCUGGCACCGACACGGCUGACCGGACAGUUUAAUUAAAACGCAGCGCGUGGCUAUCCGCAAGCGGCGUGAAUCACGCGUGAGUCCUGCCCGGUGCUAUGAAUGUCAAGGUGGGGAGAUUCACCUAAGCACUAGUUAACGGCAGGAGUAACUAUGACUCUUUUAAGGUAGCAAAAUACCUUGUCGCAUAAUUGGCGACGUGCAUGAUUGGAUCAACCAGGUCAGCACUGUCCCAGUCCGGUCGCCGGCGAACCAACAGACGGGGGAACGGGCCCGUCAGUCGCUAACCUGGUGAGAGGGGAAGCGCGCGUUCGGUCUUCGGGCCGACGCGCCAGAUCCAUGCAACAAAGCGACGACGCGGCGCACCUCGUGUGCUGCCGACCACGGACGUCGCGACCCGUGCCAGGGACAAGCCGCGGUGGGAAGUUUGGCUGGGGCGGUACGACCCGAAAAGUGUGGCCGGGUCGACCAUGAGUCGAUCUCAGUGUGGACGGAAACCUCACGUAGCGUUUAAGGACAAAUGAUCGUCUGAUCCGGCGCCACAGCACAGCGCCGGGGCUCGACAGAGCGGCCUAGCGAUCUCGAAACGGCGCCCGGUCUCGGUCGUUCGAGUGACGGAAAAGUUACCACAGGGAUAACUGGCUUGUGGCAGCCUAGUGGCCUAAAUGACGCUGCUUUUUGAUCCUUCGAUGUCGGCUCUUCCUAUCCAGGCAGUGCAAAAGUUGCCAAAGGUAAGACUGUUCGUCUGCUAACAGGGAACGUGAGCUGGGUUUAGACCGUCGUGAGACAGGUUAGUUUUAUCCUACUGUGAGUGGUCGUCCCGAUGGUAGGAUCGUUUAGUACGACAGGAACGACGAUUCAUUGCCUAUCGCAAUGGAGUCGGUCGAGAGACCGAUGCUCCGAAGCGACGCAAUUCGGAUAAGGACUGAUGGCCUCUAAAGUUCGAAGCCGUGCCAAGUGAGCGGACGACAGUGCGGGUAGACUGCUGCGACGUGAGUUUUCGUUUUGCCAGCCUCGCCGCCGUGCGAAAAAGGCCUCCUCUUUGGGGAGCAGCCUAGGGCAACAGGUGCCGCGUGUACCGACGAUGCUCCGUCGAAAGAUCACCAGUAAACGACUGGGGAGUCUCGGUACUGUAAGGGAUCGAGU